GCCACAAUUUUCUUGUCUGUUUGAGAACAAGUUCCAUUCGCAGCUCGAGCACUCCUGUUGAG
rnacentral:tRNA from 1 species